rnacentral:rRNA from 1 species
UACGUAGGGGGCGAGCGUUGUCCGGAGUUAUUGGGCGUAAAGGGCGUGUAGGCGGUUUGUUAAGUUAGGUGUGGAAAUUCAGGGCUUAACCCUGAACUUGCGGUUAAAACUGGCAGACUAGAGGACAGGAGAGGGAAGUGGAAUUCCCGGUGUAGCGGUGGAAUGCGUAGAUAUCGGGAGGAACACCAGUGGCGAAGGCGGCUUCCUGGACUGAACCUGACGCUGAGGCGCGAAAGCUAGGGGAGCAAACAGG